AAGCAUUUCAGAGUGUUAUCCCAAUGAGAGCACAAAGCCUUCCUCUCCUUAGGUCUUCAUUUAACAAAGUGCUUAAGCAAAAGCUUAUAGAAGGAUCUAAGUACAAGUUGUGUCAAAUUUGGAAGGCAUUUUUGUUGAAGUUAUCAAAUCCUAGCAGAGGAUUGAUUUCUAUGUAAUCAAAUUACUUCAUUAAAUCACAGCCUCAUAUUUCUCUUCUGAACUCUUGAGACAGCUACUGAAUUUAACAAAAGGCCAUUAACUGCAGCCCAGGGCAGGCAGUGCCUUGCUGGCACAAAGACGACUUUCCUGGCUGACUUCUCCAAAGGUUCUGAACCUGCCAGGGAAUUUAUCUGGAUAUUGCAUGCAAUGAACUGUCAAAGCAAGCAAAACCUGUGAUCUGCACAGGGGCCACCAGCCAAUGGACUGACUGCCUCAAACCAGGUUGAGACAGGAGGCAGAUGUUGGAACCAGCUUGUUGGAAAUUUGGUUUAUCUGUAGCUGCACAGUGGAAUACUUGCAGUUGCUCCAAAUGCACAUGCAGAAAGCUUUUUUUUCCAUAGGAAUUUUAAAGGAAACUGUGAGGCCAGAAAUCAUUAAGAGGCCAAAUUUCAAGUUUAAAGGUCACUGUAAUUGUCAGAACAAAUAAUAAUAUUUUUUAUUUGUUUUUUUUGUUUUUCAAAGAUGGAAAAUACAGUGGUCAUGUUUCCAUAACAGGUGAAGUGAGAUUGCAGCAUUUCUGUUUUCCCAGCAGGAGCCAUUUUCCUGUCUCUCUUUCCACGGUGCUAUUGACAGAUAUCCAUUGGCACACACAUCAGAGGAGUGAAAGGAAUACCAUGGAGAAGACAAGAUGGCAAGAGGUUCUCUUGAGACCCCAGAUGUCAGAAAAAUUCCCAAAUAUGCCAGGAUUUCUCCAGGACAAUAUUUUAUUCCAUUAAUUUUUGCAGAGGAUAAGGGAGUUGAAGAACAUGGAAAUACUUGGUAGAAGACACAUGGCUAUGGUGCCAGGUACAGAAAGCAAUCUGAAACUUUAUGAUUUUUUCCUUAUUUUUUAGGAUUGUCCACAGAAUUAGUUAGAAAGGAACAGAAAAUAGGUGUGAGAGAAAGAAAAGCAGUAAGAGGCCACACAAAACAUCACAGAGUAAGACUUUUGUCUUACUGAUAUUUCAAGCUGGAUCCUCAAAUCCUUGUUUCAGACAUUGAUUUUGUAGCAAAUAACCAUAUCAGGGAAGAAAGAUAUAUAUAACUAUAAUAUGCAGCCAAAACUGAGCUGAAGCAUAAAAGGAUAUUUCGAGGUCUAC
rnacentral:lncRNA from 1 species